rnacentral:rRNA from 1 species
UACGUAGGGCGCAAGCGUUGUCCGGAAUUAUUGGGCGUAAAGAGCUCGUAGGCGGUCUGUCGCGUCCGUUGUGAAAACUCGAGGCUCAACCUCGGGCUUGCAGUGGAUACGGGCAGACUAGAGUGCGGUAGGGGAGACUGGAAUUCCUGGUGUAGCGGUGGAAUGCGCAGAUAUCAGGAGGAACACCGAUGGCGAAGGCAGGUCUCUGGGCCGGUACUGACGCUGAGGCGCGAAAGCGUGGGGAGCAAACAGG